UGGGGAAUAUUGCACAAUGGAGGGAACUCUGAUGCAGCGACGCCGCGUGAACGAAGAAGGCUUUCGAGUCGUAAAGUUCUUUUAUAUGGGAAGAUAAUGACGGUACCAUAAGAAAAAGCCCCGGCUAACUACGUGCCAGCAGCCACGGUAAUACGUAGGGGGCUAGCGUUGUCCGGAAUCACUGGGCGUAAAGGGUUCGCAGGCGGAAAUGCAAGUCAGGUGUAAAAGGCAGUAGCUUAACUACUGUAAGCAUUUGAAACUGCAUAUCUUGAGAAGAGUAGAGGUAAGUGGAAUUUUUAGUGUAGCGGUGAAAUGCGUAGAUAUUAAAAAGAAUACCGGUGGCGAAGGCGACUUACUGGGCUCAUUCUGACGCUGAGGAACGAAAGCGUGGGUAGCAAACAGG
rnacentral:rRNA from 2 species